UACAGAGGUCUCAAGCGUUGUUCGGAUUCAUUGGGCGUAAAGGGUGCGUAGGUGGCGAUGUAAGUCGGAUGUGAAAUCUCCAAGCUUAACUUGGAAACUGCAUUCGAUACUGCGUUGCUAGAGGAUUGUAGAGGGCAUUGGAAUUCACGGUGUAGCAGUGAAAUGCGUAGAUAUCGUGAGGAAGACCAGUGGCGAAGGCGAAUGCCUGGGCAAUUCCUGACACUGAGGCACGAAGGCCAGGGGAGCAAACGGGAUUAGAUACCCCGGUAGUCCUGGCAGUAAACGGUGCACGUUUGGUGUGGGAGGAUUCGACCCCUUCCGUGCCGGAGCUAACGCGUUAAACGUGCCGCCUGGGGAGUACGGUCGCAAGAUUA
rnacentral:rRNA from 1 species